rnacentral:rRNA from 1 species
UACGUAGGGGGCGAGCGUUAAUCGGAAUCACUGGGCGUAAAGCGCGUGUAGGCUGCUGCGCAAGUCGGAUGUGAAAUCCCACGGCUCAACCAUGGAAGUGCAUUCGAAACUGCGUAGCUAGAGUUUUGGAGAGGAAGGCGGAAUACUCGGUGUAGAGGUGAAAUUCGUAGAUAUCGAGUGGAACACCGGUGGCGAAGGCGGCCUUCUGGACAAUGACUGACGCUGAAACGCGAAAGCGUGGGGAGCAAACAGG